rnacentral:rRNA from 1 species
UACGUAGGGUGCGAGCGUUAAUCGGAAUUACUGGGCGUAAAGCGUGCGCAGGCGGUUGUGCAAGACAGAUGUGAAAUCCCCGGGCUUAACCUGGGAACUGCAUUUGUGACUGCACGGCUAGAGUGCGGCGGAGGGGGAUGGAAUUCCGCGUGUAGCAGUGAAAUGCGUAGAUAUGCGGAGGAACACCGAUGGCGAAGGCAAUCCCCUGGGCCUGCACUGACGCUCAUGCACGAAAGCGUGGGGAGCAAACAGG